CCAGACCUGUGGAGGAAAGUAGAAAUGACUCAGGUAUGCAUCCUGGUAGCAUUUACCCAUUUUUCAAUGCGCUCUACAAUUGUAUUUACUAUAUCCAUGACUAUUUAUUUGCAGUUCAUACAUUCACAGACAUUGCCAUUCAAACUGACCCCAUAGUGGAUGAAGCAACACAGACCACAAGCCUAGAUGGCAUCAUGAAGAAUAUUACUGGCCUGGAUUGCAAGGUCUAUGCUACAUCAGGGGAAGUCUGCUCCUGUGAUUGGUGGGCAACAAACAUGUGACUCACACCGGCCUUCUGUUGAGCUUGCUCUGUGUGAGGAAGCAAGCGAGAGAGAGAGAAAACAGCCGAUGGAGGGAGAAAGCAGCAGCAGACUGGAGCCACAUUGGCCUGUUCGCUCAUAUUCAGCUUGUGAUCAACGACAAUUCCAAGAUCCUUCUUGCAACUAUCCCCCAUCUUAUAACUGUGUAUUUGAUUUCAUUUUCCCAAGUGUUGAACUUUGCAUUUAUCCUGGUUGAAUUUCAUUCUGUUGUUUUCAGCCCAAUGCUCCAGCCUAUUAAGGUCCCUUUGAAUUUUGUUGUCUUCCAUGGUAUUCCCAAGGUUUUCCCAAGGUUUUCCAUUUGGAAAGGAAAAGGGCCUCCCCUCCCCCUCCUCUUCCCCUCCCUGCCCCUCCCCUGGGUCAGUGUUGGACUAUGACCUGGGAGACCGGGGUUCAA